GACAGAGGGUGCAAACGUUGUUCGGAAUCACUGGGCGUAAAGGGCGCGUAGGUGGUCUUGUAAGUCUGUGGUGAAAGCCCGGGGCUCAACCCCGGGUCUGCCGUGGAUACUGUGAGACUCGAGUACUGUAGAGGCGGGUAGAAUGCCGGGUGUAGCGGUGGAAUGCGUAGAGAUCCGGCAGAAGACCGGUGGCGAAGGCGGCCCGCUGGGCAGUAACUGGACACUGAGGCGCGACAGCGUGGGGAGCAAACAGGG
rnacentral:rRNA from 1 species